GCCCAUAAGACUGGGAUAACUCCGGGAAACCGGGGCUAAUACCGGAUAACAUUUUGAACCGCAUGGUUCGAAAUUGAAAGGCGGCUUCGGCUGUCACUUAUGGAUGGACCCGCGUCGCAUUAGCUAGUUGGUGAGGUAACGGCUCACCAAGGCAACGAUGCGUAGCCGACCUGAGAGGGUGAUCGGCCACACUGGGACUGAGACACGGCCCAGACUCCUACGGGAGGCAGCAGUAGGGAAUCUUCCGCAAUGGACGAAAGUCUGACGGAGCAACGCCGCGUGAGUGAUGAAGGCUUUCGGGUCGUAAAACUCUGUUGUUAGGGAAGAACAAGUGCUAGUUGAAUAAGCUGGCACCUUGACGGUACCUAACCAGAAAGCCACGGCUAACUACGUGCCAGCAGCCGCGGUAAUACGUAGGUGGCAAGCGUUAUCCGGAAUUAUUGGGCGUAAAGCGCGCGCAGGUGGUUUCUUAAGUCUGAUGUGAA
rnacentral:rRNA from 1 species